rnacentral:rRNA from 1 species
UACGUAGGUGGCAAGCGUUGUCCGGAAUUAUUGGGCGUAAAGGGCGCGUAGGCGGCUUGGCAAGUGGAAGGUGAAAUCCCUCGGCUUAACCGAGGAACUGCCUUCCAGACUGCUUUGCUUGAGGCCGGGAGAGGCGAGUGGAAUUCCCAGUGUAGCGGUGAAAUGCGCAGAUAUCAGGAGGAACACCGAUGGCGAAGGCAGGUCUCUGGGCAUUAACUGACGCUGAGGAGCGAAAGCAUGGGGGAGCGAACAGG